UACGUAGGUGGCAAGCGUUGUCCGGAUUUAUUGGGUUUAAAGGGUGCGUAGGCGGUUAUAUAAGUCAGUGCUGGAAUAUCCCGGCUUAACCGGGAGGGUGGCAUUGAUACUGUAUGACUUGAGUAAAGUUGAGGUUGGCGGAAUUGACGGUGUAGCGGUGAAAUGCUUAGAUAUCGUCAAGAACACCGAUUGCGAAGGCAGCUAACUAAGCUUUAACUGACGCUGAGGCACGAAAGUGUGGGGAUCAAACAGG
rnacentral:rRNA from 1 species